UACGGAGGGUGCAAGCGUUAUCCGGAUUCACUGGGUUUAAAGGGUGCGUAGGCGGCCCUGUAAGUCAGUGCUGAAAUAUCCCAGCUUAACUGGGAGGGUGGCAUUGAUACUGCGGGGCUAGAGUACAGAUGAGGUAGGCGGAAUUGAUUGUGUAGCGGUGAAAUGCAUAGAUACAAUCAAGAACUCCGAUUGCGUAGGCAGCUAACUAGGCUGUAACUGACGCUGAGGCACGAAAGCGUGGGGAGCGAACAGG
rnacentral:rRNA from 1 species